CUCUCCACCCACUGGGGUAUAUAAAUAUUCGGGAGGGCCGGGCACCGGGGAAGGUGGGGAGAGGAAGCAGGUGGCACGGCGGUGGCUGGGACCGGCGGGGCCGUGCGCGGGGAAGGGGAGCGAUGGUGAGAGGGAAAGGUGGGCACGGUGCGAGCCGGCACAGCCGCUGACAAUAAAGGAUAGUGCCGGGCACGGGGAGCUGGCGAGGUUGGACCGAGUUGCAAGUUGUAUUUACCUUCCGCCCGGGCGGAGCGCCGUGCUGACUGUCGCUCCUCUCCCCCGUCAGUGAGUCACCCGAAUCCAGAACCGGAGCGAGGGACUAGAUUACGAACAUGACUUCAUUGAUGACAGCCAUUCCCUCCUCUUCCUAAACUCCUGCCCCUCCUCCGGCCCCCCCAUCGCGGACGCCACUGCUCAGGCAGCUGUGUUGCCAUUGGUCCGCCGGACAGGGAGUGCCCGCCCCCCUGCGUAGAAGGGGCGGCCCUAUUGGCCCGGAGAGCUAUCGCUCAUCCGUGAGGCCGGGUGGGGGGGGUCGAAGGUGUGCAGUCGCGCGCGGGGCGGGGUGCGCUGCGCUCCGCGGCGCCGUGCGCAGGCCGAGCGCUCCGCUCCCGCGCUGGCCGUGCAGCGCCGGGCAGCGUGCGCUCCCAUCGGCUGCCGCCCCGCGCUCCUGCGCCCCUCCCAGCUCGCCUCUGCGGUGGGGAGAGAGGGGCAGGAUCUCUUUCCCUACGAAGGCGGCAGCAGGGCGCGGGCGGCACUCGCGGGAGUAGUUUGGGAAAGAGGUGAAGAAGGUGCUGGAAUUGCGCUGUGCCUCUGCCCCGCUGGAGGAGCGGGGAGGAGCCAGCCUGACGGGCCUGGGAUCAGCUGUGUCUGGCUGUUGGGAGUGAGUGUGUGUGUGUGUGUGUUUUGUGUGCGCCCAGGACGGGUGUCUCCUUCCCUUUAAAAGAAAAGGCAAAGGUGGGCGUGGAGCUUGGACCCCGACCCCUGUCUCCGGUGGCAAAGGGUGCUGUCGUGGCCGCGGGCAGGCUGCAGAGAGCAUUCCAGCGGAACCGGCCUGUCUGGCAGGCUCCGGCUCCAGCGGCGGCGCCGAGGCUGCCCGCAGCCCCUCGCGGUGCAGCGCUGAGGCGGCUGCUGAGGCAGCGGCGGGCAGAACGAUCCCGGGUGAAGCUCUUCUUUCUGCGGGAUUGGGAGGGAAAACGCAAUUUUUCCCACAUCACUCCCACUACAGUCAGCCAUUGCCCUGCCUGUUCAGGAGGACUUGCAAGAGACUAAGCCUGCUGCUUCUGCCAUGGCAUAGGACAACCAGGAGAAGAAAAAAACUUGCUGGAAUGUACAGGCUGUCUAGAAGAAAAAUGGCUUUUUUCUUACCUGAGAGAAGAGCUGAGGAAGCACAAGAGAAGCUUGGUAAUUUGCAUUAA
rnacentral:lncRNA from 1 species